AGUCCGUUUAGCUGCUGGCUUUUAGAGGGGCGGGGAAGAGCCGGGUCGCUCUCGUCAGCUGAGGAGAAUGAUUCAUAGAGGAGGGUCAGGAGAGAACAGUUCUGGCUGCGAAAGCCCACUUAAAAGGCUGGACUCUUCCGCGAGGGAGGGAGAGGCAGGAGAGUAAGCGAGGCCUCGGGCCUGACCUCGCCUCAGGCCGCUCGUCAGGCCUCCAUCGAGUCCUGGGCCUUGUCGGGGGCGGCCGCGAGGCGCCGGUUGCUGGGGGACCGGUGACGUCGCGGGGUGAAAGUUGAGGGGCGGUGACGUCGGCCCUGCCCGGGCGGAGGCUGGCGGGUUGGAGGCAGGAGGGAGGGAGGGAAGGAGGGAAGGAAGGAAGCUGGGAACGAGCGAGCGAGCGGGGGCGCGAGGCGUUUACCUGGAGGCAGCGGCUUGGGCGCGCUGAGCGGCCGCGGCUCCCCCGCACCUGCGGCCAUGGAUGAGGAGCGCGCCCUCUACAUCGUCCGGGCCGGCGAGGCGGGGGCUAUCGAGCGGGUCCUGAGGGAUUACAGCGAUAAGCAUAGGGCUACUUUCAAAUUUGAAUCAACAGAUGAAGAUAAAAGAAAGAAACUCUGUGAAGGUAUAUUUAAAGUCCUUGUAAAGGACAUCCCAACAACAUGUCAAGUGUCUUGCCUGGAAGUUCUCCGCAUUCUCUCCAGAGACAAAAAGGUUUUAGUUCCUGUAACAACCAAGGAAAAUAUGCAGAUACUGCUGCGACUAGCCAAGCUAAAUGAGUCGGAUGAUUCUUUGGAGAAGGUGUCCGAGUUCCCAGUUAUUGUGGAGUCAUUAAAAUGUCUGUGUAACAUAGUGUUCAACAGUCAGAUGGCACAGCAGCUCAGCCUGGAACUUAACCUUGCUGCAAAGCUCUGUAACCUCCUAAGAAAGUGCAAGGACCGAAAGUUUAUCAGUGACAUUAAAUGCUUUGACUUGCGCUUGCUCUUCCUCCUGUCACUUUUGCACACCGACAUCAGGUCACAAUUGCGCUAUGAGCUUCAGGGACUAGCGCUGCUAACCCAGAUCUUGGAAAGUGCCUUUAGCAUCAAGUGGACCGAUGAGUAUGAAUCGGCCAUAGACCGUAAUGGACCUCCUCUUUCACCUCAGGAGACAGACUGUGCCAUCGAGGCCCUCAAAGCUCUCUUCAAUGUGACAGUAGACAGUUGGAAGGCACAUAAAGAGAGUGAUUCUCAUCAGUUCCGUGUCAUGGCAGCUGUCCUUCGCCAUUGUUUACUAAUCGUAGGUCCAACUGAAGACAAAACAGAAGAGCUGCACAGCAAUGCAGUCAACCUUUUAAGCAAUGUUCCGGUCUCUUGUUUGGAUGUUCUCAUUUGUCCAUUAACCCAUGAAGAAACAGCCCACGAGGCAACGACUCUAGAUGAACUGCCCAAUGAUAAAACAGCUGAGAAAGAAACUGUUUUGAAAAACAAUACCAUGGUAUACAAUGGUAUGAAUAUGGAAGCCAUUCAUGUUUUACUCAAUUUUAUGGAGAAGAGAAUAGACAAGGGAAGCAGCUAUAGAGAAGGUCUAACUCCGGUUCUCAGCUUAUUAACAGAAUGUUCCCGAGCCCAUCGAAACAUCAGAAAAUUUCUCAAAGAUCAGGUUUUACCACCAUUGAGGGAUGUGACAAAUCGUCCUGAAGUUGGCUCAACUGUGAGAAAUAAGCUGGUGCGCCUCAUGACACAUGUUGACCUUGGAGUCAAGCAGAUUGCUGCUGAAUUCCUUUUUGUCCUUUGCAAAGAGAGAGUGGAUAGCCUGCUGAAAUACACUGGCUAUGGGAAUGCUGCAGGACUGUUGGCGGCCAGGGGCCUCUUGGCUGGAGGAAGAGGAGAUAAUUGGUACUCAGAGGACGAGGACACAGACACUGAAGAAUACAAAAAUGCAAAACCAAACAUUAAUCUUAUCACUGGUCAUUUAGAGGAACCAAUGCCAAACCCCAUAGAUGAAAUGACAGAAGAACAAAAAGAAUAUGAAGCCAUGAAACUUGUCAACAUGCUUGAUAAACUCUCCAGGGGAAUCCACAUUUCUAGAAGCUGCCAACAAAUAAAUAGCCUGAAGCUAUGUCAAGUCUGAAAUUGCCAAGCUUCUUCCACUUGAUUUAAACUAUGCCUCAAAGAAGAUGCAUACUCACCCAGAAUCACCCAGCAGAUACCCAACUCAAUCUGAAGGAGAGCAGAUGUGAAGGACCCGCACCAGGAUGGUGGUUAGCAACAGUGGCCCGUGCCAAAGCACUUACCAAAGUGAUGAUUAAGGUUGGUCAUGCCAAGUACUGUUACUGAGCCUGGUGUAGGGUGUAGAUGUCAUCUACUACCAAAACUGUAAAACCACCGAUUCAAAAAUUAAAGCCACAUUUCCAUUUUGCCUCCAUGCUGGACAUAGUGACUGCCACAAGGAGCUCACCACCUUGGCAGCUUUAUCACGGCUACAUUUCCAAGGACACUGGAGAGAUUUGUGUUCCAACAUUUUCUUCCCGUUGAAUACCAGCUGACUUAGUAAUAUUCUUAGUGAUUUUGUGUGUGUGUGUGUGUGUGAGGAUUGUAUUUGUGACAGAUGUAGGUAAGGGGAUUGCAGUAGACCUGGAGGUCUUAAGAGUUUGAAAAUAAUCUGAACCCUGUAAAUCCCAUCAUGUCUAGCUAGUACAGUGCCUUGUACCCUGUGGUUUCCCUAGUGUGUGAUGAGGAAAUAAUGAACACAGCUGAUCCCCAAAUCUGUUGGGCAGCUUUUGGCUCUAUAAAAUACCCUAUGUGGUUUAAGACUUUAAACUUUACCUUUGUCAGUUCCAUUUCUUGGCCAGAUAUAAUGACUAAUUUGAAUCUUGGGGUACAUAAUUUCUCUAAAAUAAUCAUUGUAAUAUGUAGCAAACAAACAAGCAUUAAGGCCUGAGGCAGGAGAUUAAAAAUGUCAAAUGAAGCUUUCUAUAAUGUGAGAGCAGAGCUGAAAAAGGGAAUGAAAUUUGCCUUCCUCUCCACCUGCUCUUUCCUUCUUUGAAUUGGAAAAAAAAAUAAGCCCCCACAACUUAAGUGGGGGAUUAGAAUGGGGACUGUGUGUGUAUACGCAAGUCCAGUGUGGCUAAUACAAUUGCGUCCACCUUAGCUACAGCACACAGCUCGUGUGUAAUAAUGACGCCUCCUCCAGAAGAAGGGAGAGGAUUGAUUGGCUUAAGCGUCAACGAACCAAAGGAAAUAAUAUUUCAAGUUUCAGUUUUGUUUUGAUUUUCUAAUCCCCUUUAGUUCCUUAAUUGGAAUCAGGCACUGAUUAGUCUUCUACCCCACCCUUAAACCGGUCACAUUUAACAACAUUUAACAGUGUACAUUGAUUGCUUUUUUGCUUAUAUAUUUUAUCCAAAUCUAAAAUUUACAUUUAAAUAAUUUUCCCGUUUCUUAUCUAUUCCAUAUCAUAUAUAUAUAUUUUUUUAUAGCCAUUGUGUAGUAUUUGGGACAUGGCUUUCUUAAUUAAUGCAGGUUCCAAAUAUGGGAUUCUGUUUAGACUUACUAAAGCUGGGACGAGCAAUCAAUGACUGAAAAGCAAUACAUAACUUUAUUCCUUAUGAAUAAGUUACUCUACUCAAAUAAAAAAAAAAACCUGUGAUCACAUCCACCUUUAUGAUAAGUUAGUCAAGGACAUGCUUUUCAGGUAUGGUUCAGAAACAUGUUGCAGUUUUUAAAGUGUUUUGAGAUCUACUGUAGGUUCAAAAGUGUAAAGAUUGUAAUUGUUUAUAUCGGAAAAUCUUUUAGAUCUGUGCUGUCCAAUACGGUAACCACCAGCCAUAUACUACUGAGAGCUUGAAGUGUGGUUAAUCUGAAUUGGGAUGUCCUAUAAGGGUUAAAUACUCAGACUUUGAAAAACUCAGUAUAAAAAGAGAAAUGUAAAAUAUCUCAAUUGUUUAAUAUGGAUUUUAUGUUGAAAUAUUUUUUAUAUACUGGGUUAACAAAAUAUAUUAAAGUCAAAGUCAGUUUUAGUUAUCUUUUUCAGUGUGGUUACUAGAAUAUUUUAAGAUUCCAUAUAUGGCUUAUGGUAUAUUUACAUAUGGCAACACUAUUCUGAUAUCAUUAAAAUACACUGUAAGGUUGCCUGGAAGUUCAAUUAAGGGAACUUGGAUCCAGUUAAGUUAAUAUGCCCUUAAAGUGGCAAGGGAGGAUUAAUUUGAGAAAGUUAGUAUUGUGUGUCUUUAGGUUAUAGAGGGCCUUCACUGGCUAGACACCUCUGAGUAGGAUGUCAUGCUCCCUUUGUAUUGCCUGUUGGUAGUCACUGUCCUUUAAGCUCUGUAGAAGGAAUGAGUACUUUGAGCUCUUAGUUUAAGCACUAGCUGAAAUGGCUUCUAAUAGAGAAACCUCAAAUAAGAAUAAUGUCCCCUGGCUGUUUGUGCUGUUAGCUACCCUCCUUCAACUUUUAAGUCUUUCUGAUUAGGGACAGCAUGUAAGAAUUUCAAUUUCUGCUGCUAUAUUCAACAGUGUCAGUGGGCACGCUGACCUCUUAUUUAUUUUACUAAUUUGGACAACAGGAUAGAAAACUCCUGUGGAGAAAUUACCAAGAAAUAAGAAUGCCUUCACUUAAGGAUAAAACUGAAUUUGAUUCUUUAGCACUGUCCCUAACCUCUUUCUCCAUAUUUUUUUAACCAUGCUGUUUAAUGUGAGGUAGGUAACAAAUUUUUAGAAGCUUUGCAUGUGAUUUUCUAACAGAAAUGAGAAUAGUAAAAGACUAAUAUUUAGAUAGUGCUUUAAAGUUUAAAGAGUGUUUCCAUUUAUAUUAUCUCCACUGAUCAUUAAAGCAACCCUGUGAAUUAUUAGAGCAAGUAGUGUUUGACUGAAGAACAAACAGAACCAAUGAUUAGGAGACUGACCCAAGAUCAGGCAUCUGGUUGAUGACAUAGCCAGGACUCGAUUCUCAGUCUUAACACUCCAGAUCUUAUGUCAUUUUGCAAAAUGACCAACAGCUCUCAAAAAUGUGUCCAUCUGAUUUUAAAUAAGAUGUCCUAAAUUUUAAAAAAAUGCAAAGUGCAAAGAUUGUAAGCAUAUUUACCUGAGAAUUAAGAUUUGGAAGACCCACAUUCCUGCUCUUUCAUUCUGUAGUUGAGAUCUUCUCGAAGAUCAAGUGAGGUGCUAAAGUAAAUAGUUUAUAUCAAACACACACACAUACACACAUACACACACACACACACACACCUUUAUAAGAAGGAAACCAGUGAAACUGCUAUGACUCUUUGUUAAUAGAAGUUUUUUAUUUUAAAAAGAGAAUGAUUAUAGGUAUUCUAACUUUUGAAAGGCUUCCCAAUGGGACUGUUUAGGCAACUCCCAAUUACCUUUACAAACAGAAAGAAAUCCAAAAUAGAUGAUAUGCUGUGUCCAUUUGUCAUGGAAAUGAUAUUUUUUAUGCUACAUAUUCACCUUCCUAAUUGUACCCAGUCCCAAAGCACAAUGGUGAGGUCUCAGGGAAGAUCCCAGAAUUGUUUUAAAAGAUACAGCCUGAAGACUUUGAAUUUGCUGUGGAAAAGCCACCAUACCCCUCCAAAAAUCCUGGGGUAGCGGCUUAGUGAAAAAUCAGUGUACCCAGUCAGGACUAGGAAGUCAUUAGAUGAAAGACCAUGAAAGAUGAAGGAUCAGGGUCCAAGCCCAAAGGACACUUUUUCCCAGUAUGUAACUGAACAUGUUAAGCAAUGGCCAAGGUUAUAAUAUUAUUCCUAUGAGAAAAAGGUGUUAUAAACACUUGUAAGCCUAUCAACAAGUUACUAGGCAGUCCAUUGAACUUUGGUGGAGUAUGGACCAUUGCAGUGAUGCUGAAAUCUUGAAAUAAGAUGCACUCUCAGACUUGGGAUUAGAGCACAGAUCACAGAGCUGCUUUCUCCCAGCUAGCACAGGCUCCACACUAGCAGGCAUCUCUUGAAAAGCUCUGUGUUCAUUAAAAAUGUUUUAUGUAUUUACCAGUUUCUCACCCUUUCAAAUGUGAAAAGGAAUUAAAUAUGAAAUGGCUAAUUUAAAAAGUCAGGGUUCUUUUUUUCCAAGCAAACCUUACAUUAAGAGCAGGAAUCCCUGUGCCAAAGAAAUGGUUCCCAAUUAUCCCAUCUUGGGUUUUGUUAUACAUUGUACAGAAGUCAACAAAACGAGUAUGUAACAGAACCUGCCUAAAUAGCAGCCACCCUCAUUAGAAACAGGGAAUUAAUCAGAGGGCGAUUGAAGGAAGCAGUGCCUCACAGGUUUCCCCCUUUUCUUCUUUUCUAAUCAUAGAACAAAAUAUAUGACAUAAAAGGAUCGGAACUAUUAUGCAGUACUCAAUUAGAGGGAGGUGAAUAGGUCUCUAACAUGCUGUUUUAUCAAAAGAGCAGACUGGUGUUUGCAUGACUGUUGUUUCAUUACAGACCCUGUCAUUAAUUCCAUGUGUCAAUACUGCCCUGUAGUACACAGAGCAGACAAGAAAGAAGAGCCCUUGAAAACAAGGGAAUGAUUUUUGAGUCGUUAUCAAGCUAAGUGGCAAGCGGGAAGCUGAAACUCGUAUAGGUAAAUUCGAAGGGACUCUUGGGAGAUCUGCAAGUGGGAAACAAGAAUGCAUUUUACCAACUGCUUAAUUAUGUCCUGUUUUUCAACAAGUACACUUGAAUUGAAUGCUUUGUUUGUAUUGCACAAAAACAUGUGCUGUGGGCAAGAGUAUUCUCUUGCUUCCAGGUCAAGUAAGGUGUUUUAUACACAUAUACAUCUGGCCUAUUCUAUAAUGUGCGAUUGGGUAUGUUAGUGUCUGAGCCCCAAUUUUGCACUGUCAUUUCUGGGGGAAAGUCUUACAUAGGAACCAGAAGCCCUAAAAAGUAGAACCUUGUCUAAGGUUCUGAGAAGUUACAGAAACCCAGGCAUCCCAGAGGACCAUCCUUACAGGGAAAUGGUGGCUCAGGAAAAUGUUAAAAUAUAUCUGGGGGAAAAAAAAAAAACAGACCAGAAAUUUUUAAAUAUGGUAUAAAUCCCAUAA